GAACGAGAAAGUGGAGCAAUCCAUGAGUAAAGUGGCGCACGGGUGAGUAACACGUGACUAACCUACCCUUGAGUGGGGGAUAACUGAGGGAAACCUUAGCUAAUACCGCAUAAUACCUACGGGUCAAAGGAGCAAUUCGCUCGAGGAGGGGGUCGCGGCCGAUUAGUUAGUUGGCGGGGUAAUGGCCCACCAAGACUAUGAUCGGUAUCCGGCCUGAGAGGGCGCACGGACACACUGGAACUGAAACACGGUCCAGACUCCUACGGGAGGCAGCAGUGGGGAAUUUUGCGCAAUGGGGGAAACCCUGACGCAGCAACGCCGCGUGGAGGAUGAAGUCCUUCGGGACGUAAACUCCUUUCGAUCGGGACGAUUAUGACGGUACCGGAAGAAGAAGCCCCGGCUAACUUCGUG
rnacentral:rRNA from 1 species